GACGAACGCUGGCGGCGUGCUUAACACAUGCAAGUCGAACGGAAAGGCCCUGCUUUUGUGGGGUGCUCGAGUGGCGAACGGGUGAGUAACACGUGAGUAACCUGCCCUUGACUUUGUGAUAACUUCAGGAAACUGGGGCUAAUACCGGAUAGGAGCUCCUGCUGCAUGGUGGGGGUUGGAAAGUUUCGGCGGUUGGGGAUGGACUCGCGGCUUAUCAGCUUGUUGGUGGGGUAGUGGCUUACCAAGGCUUUGACGGGUAGCCGGCCUGAGAGGGUGACCGGCCACAUUGGGACUGAGAUACGGCCCAGACUCCUACGGGAGGCAGCAGUGGGGAAUAUUGCACAAUAGGCGGAAGCCUGAUGCAGCAACGCCGCGUGCGUGAUGACGGCCUUCGGGUUGUAAACCGCUUUCGCCUGUGACGAAGCGUGAGUGACGGUAAUGGGUAAAGAAGCACCGGCUAACUACGUG
rnacentral:rRNA from 1 species